UCCGUUAUGGUGUAGUGGCUAACAUUAUCGCCUCUCAUCCUCAAUGGGAUGCUGUUUAAGAACGCGAUAGCCCAGGGUUCGAUUCCCUGUAACGGAA